AUGGCGUCAGGAUGAACGCUAGCGUACAAGGCUUAACACAUGCAAGUCGAGGGGCAGCAUUGGGAUAGCUGCUAUUCAGAUGGCGACCGGCGCACGGGUGAGUAACGCGUAUCCAACCUCCUGCCAGUAGGGAACAGCCCGGCGAAAGUCGGAUUAAUGCCCUAUGUUCUUCAAUGCGGACAUCUAAGUUGAAGGAAAGAUUCAUCGCUGGCAGAUGGGGAUGCGUCCGAUUAGCUUGCCGGCGGGGUAACGGCCCACCGGGGCGACGAUCGGUAGGGGUUCUGAGAGGAAGGUCCCCCACACUGGUACUGAGACACGGACCAGACUCCUACGGGAGGCAGCAGUGAGGAAUAUUGGGUCAAUGGGCGUAAGCCUGAACCAGCCAAGUAGCGUGCAAGGAUGACGGCCCUACGGGUUGUAAACUGCUUUUAUGCGGGGAUAAAGUGCGGCACGUGUGCCGCUUUGCAGGUACCGCAUGAAUAAGGACCGGCUAAUUCCGUGCCAGCCGCGGC
rnacentral:rRNA from 1 species